AGCUAACAAAAACAUGUAUUAGCUAUCAGUUACGUUUAACAACUAAACUAAACAGGUCCUUAGUCUUGUUCAAGACUGUCCUGGUCAAAUUUGGGUCUGAUUAGUUCCACUCUGUACCCUAACCAAACCCAUAGACAUGGGAAUAUAGAUGAUCAGUAGCCAAAUUCGUGGAUGUGCUUUAUUGGCAGGUUUGAAUAGAUAUGUUUCAGAAUCAUGGAAUUUUUUUGUAUGCCACCCCCCAUCUUUUGUCAACUGCUUACUGCACGUUAAAUUGCCUAACAUCAUGAUAUGCCAAUUUGUCAUUUCUUUGCUGUAGCAGUUUAGUUGACAUUUGUUUCCCUCGAAGUAUUGAUUUGAAUUAUACUAGCAAAGCAUUUUAUGUAAACAUGUCUGCCUUUCUGGUUGUGUUAGUUGUGUUAGUCCAAAUUGCACGAGAUGCUUUUAAUGCCAGCUUAUCUUGGAUGUAUAAAUUUAUCAUUAAACCCGUUGAUUUACUAAAUACAGCUUUUGCAGUUGUGAUCCUUUCUGUAUGUAUGUCGUUGUUGCCUUGAUUCCUCCUCCAUUUGUUAACUUUUAUUUGUCAUAGAGGGUAGGAUGUUCUCCUUGGAGCGGGGCAAUUGGCAAGAUGUCUGUAACUAAUUAUUCUAGGCAGAUGCCAAAGGCCUUAGCUAAGAUUGUGUAAACCUAGUCUAAACUCAACCCAAUUUAUUAUUGGUCUAAUGUGAUAACACUAUAGCCAUUUUGUGAAUGGCUCUUGGAGAAUAAGUUUUGAUUAAAGUAUACUGUUAUCAAUAAAAUUAUAUUGGGAGGGAGAGGUUGAUAAUUUUAAGUUCAACUUUGAAAAUGGUAAAAAGGCAUGUGUCACGUUUCCCAAAAUAUUACGCAUUUCUCACUCUUCAACACCAUUGUUAAAAGAGUAAUCCGAAGCCAAAAAAAAAAAAAAA
rnacentral:misc_RNA from 1 species